GCUUGCUCUCGGGUGACGAGCGGCGGACGGGUGAGUAAUGUCUGGGAAACUGCCUGAUGGAGGGGGAUAACUACUGGAAACGGUAGCUAAUACCGCAUAAUGUCGCAAGACCAAAGUGGGGGACCUUCGGGCCUCAUGCCAUCAGAUGUGCCCAGAUGGGAUUAGCUAGUAGGUGGGGUAACGGCUCACCUAGGCGACGAUCCCUAGCUGGUCUGAGAGGAUGACCAGCCACACUGGAACUGAGACACGGUCCAGACUCCUACGGGAGGCAGCAGUGGGGAAUAUUGCACAAUGGGCGCAAGCCUGAUGCAGCCAUGCCGCGUGUGUGAAGAAGGCCUUCGGGUUGUAAAGCACUUUCAGCGGGGAGGAAGGCGCUAAGGUUAAUAACCUUAGCGAUUGACGUUACCCGCAGAAGAAGCACCGGCUAACUCCGUGCCAGCGGCCGCGGUAAUACGGAGGGUGCAAGCGUUAAUCGGAAU
rnacentral:rRNA from 1 species